rnacentral:rRNA from 1 species
GACGAACGCUGGCGGCGUGCUUAACACAUGCAAGUCGAACGGAAAGGCCCUGCUUUUGUGGGGUGCUCGAGUGGCGAACGGGUGAGUAACACGUGAGUAACCUGCCCUUGACUUUGGGAUAACUUCAGGAAACUGGGGCUAAUACCGGAUAGGAGCUCCUGCUGCAUGGUGGGGGUUGGAAAGUUUCGGCGGUUGGGGAUGGACUCGCGGCUUAUCAGCUUGUUGGUGGGGUAGUGGCUUACCAAGGCUUUGACGGGUAGCCGGCCUGAGAGGGUGAUCGGCCACAUUGGGACUGAGAUACGGCCCAGACUCCUACGGGAGGCAGCAGUGGGGAAUAUUGCACAAUGGGCGGAAGCCUGAUGCAGCAACGCCGCGUGCGGGAUGACGGCCUUCGGGUUGUAAACCGCUUUCGCCUGUGACGAAGCGUGAGUGACGGUAAUGGGUAAAGAAGCACCGGCUAACUACGUGCCAGCAGCCGCGGUGAUACGUAGGGUGCGAGCGUUGUCCGGAUUUAUUGGGCGUAAAGGGCUCGUAGGUGGUUGAUCGCGUCGGAAGUGUAAUCUUGGGGCUUAACCCUGAGCGUGCUUUCGAUACGGGUUGACUUGAGGAAGGUAGGGGAGAAUGGAAUUCCUGGUGGAGCGGUGGAAUGCGCAGAUAUCAGGAGGAACACCAGUGGCGAAGGCGGUUCUCUGGGCCUUUCCUGACGCUGAGGAGCGAAAGCGUGGGGAGCGAACAGGCUUAGAUACCCUGGUAGUCCACGCUGUAAACGGUGGGUACUAGGUGUGGGGUCCAUUCCACGGGUUCCGUGCCGUAGCUAACGCUUUAAGUACCCCGCCUGGGGAGUACGGCCGCAAGGCUAAAACUCAAAGGAAUUGACGGGGCCCCGCACAAGCGGCGGAGCAUGCGGAUUAAUUCGAUGCAACGCGUGGAACCUUACCUGGGUUUGACAUGGAUCGGGAGUGCUCAGAGAUGGGUGUGCCUCUUUUGGGGUCGGUUCACAGGUGGUGCAUGCCUGUCGUCAGCUCGUGUCGUGAGAUGUUGGGUUAAGUCCCGCAACGAGCGCAACCCUUGUUCACUGUUGCCAGCACGUUAUGGUGGGGACUCAGUGGAGACCGCCGGGGUCAACUCGGAGGAAGGUGGGGAUGACGUCAAGUCCUCAUGCCCCUUAUGUCCAGGGCUUCACGCAUGCUACAAUGGCUGGUACAGAGAGUGGCGAGCCUGUGAGGGUGAGCGAAUCUCGGAAAGCCGGUCUCAGUUCGGAUUGGGGUCUGCAACUCGACCUCAUGAAGUCGGAGUCGCUAGUAAUCGCAGAUCAGCAACGCUGCGGUGAAUACAGGCCCGGGGCU